UACGUAGGGGGCAAGCGUUGUUCGGAAUGACUGGGCGUAAAGGGUGCGUAGGCGGUGUAGCAAGUUAGAAGUGAAAUACCUAGAGCUUAACUCAGGUGCUGCUUCUAAAACUGCUAUACUUGAGUGCAGUAGAGGAAAGUGGAAUUCCUAGUGUAGCGGUGGAAUGCGUAGAUAUUAGGAGGAACAUCAGUGGCGAAGGCGACUUUCUGGACUGUAACUGACGCUGAGGCACGAAAGUGUGGGGAGCAAACAGG
rnacentral:rRNA from 1 species